AGGGUUUGAUCCUGGCUCAGGAUGAACGCUGGCGGCGUGCCUAACACAUGCAAGUCGAGCGAGAAAUAAAGGAAUGAAGCUUCGGUAGAUUUUCUUUAUGGAAAGCGGCGGACGGGUGAGUAACGCGUAGGCAACCUGCCCUGUACAGGGGGAUAGCCACCCGAAAAGGUGAUUAAUACCCCAUAACGCAAGAGAUACACAUGUAUCACUUGUCAAAGAUUUAUCGGUAUAGGAUGGGCCUGCGUCUGAUUAGCUAGUUGGUAGGGUAACGGCUUACCAAGGCAACGAUCAGUAGCCGACCUGAGAGGGUGAUCGGCCACAUUGGAACUGAGACACGGUCCAA
rnacentral:rRNA from 1 species